rnacentral:rRNA from 1 species
CGGAGGUGCGAGCGUUAAUCGGAAUAACUGGGCGUAAAGGGCACGCAGGCGGCUAUUAAGUGAGGUGUGAAAUCCCCGGCGUUAACCUGGGAAUUGCAUUUCUAGACUGGGUAGCUAGAGUACUUUAGGGAGGGUAGGAAUUCCACGUGUAGCGGUGAAAUGCGUAGAGAUGUGGAGGAAUACCGAAGGCGAAGGCAGCCCCUUGGGAAUGUACUGACGCUCAUGUGCGAAAGCGUGGGGAGCAAACAGGAUU